rnacentral:lncRNA from 1 species
GUUUAAUAGGAUUAUGGAAAAACUAAUCUACUAUAUUUUUUGGCUUUUCUGGACUAUAGGAAAUUAAUUAAAAACAGCAAAGGAUUAGAAGUCUCUCACCGAAGAACCUUGCUCUGAUACCAACUGAUGCGAACCCGCUAGGGUUUUUGGCCUGAUCUUUCGAUGAGAGGCGCUGGAUAACUCGAUUAGUGGAUGGAGAUGACGUUCACGGCCCGACUACAGCCCUCAAGACCGCGCCUUAGCAACCGAUACACCACGUCCAACAGCCGUCACGAUCUUGUGGAGCGCGACAACCAGCCCCUAGGGCUCCCGUCCUGCAAGCAAUCGAAGAACUAGCAAGAACGAGGAAACAAGCACUGAAUUUGCAAGAUGAAUUGAAGGUUUUAAACUGAAUCUUAAUCAACAAUGGGGUUCCGAAGACAAGGAGACGGGCGGCUGAUCCUGCACGCGCGCCUACAAGCAAGUAGCGAAGGCUAAACUUGAUCUAAACAAAACCCAGUUGUUCAUGGCGGCUCUAGAUGUAAAUAAAUAGAGGGGAGGACGACCAAAGGGGUGCUAGAGUCAUCCUCCAACCCUAGAACGCGUCCCUAAUGGACUCAACUUGAUACAUGGGCCAUUGGUCCAAAAUAGGGUGACGCAGCACCAAAACAGAAAGAGGUGUCGGCACGAAAACAAGGACUGCGCC